UUUUUCCUACGGGGGGCAGCAGUGGGGAAUAUUGCGCAAUGGGGGAAACCCUGACGCAGCAACGCCGCGUGCGGGAUGACGGCCUUCGGGUUGUAAACCGCUUUCAGCAGGGAAGAACAUCGACGGUACCUGCAGAAGAAGCCCCGGCUAACUACGUGCCAGCAGCCGCGGUAAUACGUAGGGGGCGAGCGUUAUCCGGAUUCAUUGGGCGUAAAGCGCGCGUAGGCGGGUGCCUAAGCGGGACCUCUAACCUCGGGGCUCAACCCCGAGCCGGGUCCCGAACUGGGCGUCUCGAGGGCGGCAGG
rnacentral:rRNA from 1 species